GACAGAGGGUGCGAACGUUGCUCGGAAUACUGGGCGUAAAGCGCGUGCAGGUGGCUCCGCACGUCCGGUGUGAAAGCCCAGGGCUCAACCCUGGAAGCGCGCUGGAUACGACGGAGCUCGAGGGCUGGAGGAGGUAGGCGGAAUUCCCGGUGUAGAGGUGAAAUUCGUAGAUAUCGGGAGGAACACCGGUGGCGAAGGCGGCCUACUGGACAGCACCUGACACUGAGACGCGAAAGCGUGGGUAGCAAACAGG
rnacentral:rRNA from 1 species